rnacentral:lncRNA from 1 species
UUACUUGGAACUAAGUUCAGCCUAUCCAGUAGCUCAAAACAAGAGAUGUAGUGGGUGAAUGUGGCAAUAGAAACCUUAAUUGAGGACAAAGGAUUUGAUGGUGAAUACAAGAGAAUGAUGUUGGAAGGAAGAAAGUUUGUAUUGCUUUAGAAAGAGCUUUACAAGUGUGAGUGCUUUAGCCAAAACUUCCAGGCUGUACAAAUGAAUCUCUA